rnacentral:rRNA from 1 species
AGUGAACGCUGGCGGUAGGCCUAACACAUGCAAGUCGAACGGCAGCACAGUAAGAGCUUGCUCUUACGGGUGGCGAGUGGCGGACGGGUGAGGAAUACAUCGGAAUCUACUUUUUCGUGGGGGAUAACGUAGGGAAACUUACGCUAAUACCGCAUACGACCUACGGGUGAAAGCAGGGGAUCUUCGGACCUUGCGCGAUUGAAUGAGCCGAUGUCGGAUUAGCUAGUUGGCGGGGUAAAGGCCCACCAAGGCGACGAUCCGUAGCUGGUCUGAGAGGAUGAUCAGCCACACUGGAACUGAGACACGGUCCAGACUCCUACGGGACGCAGCAGUGGGGAAUAUUGGACAAUGGGCGCAAGCCUGAUCCAGCCAUACCGCGUGGGUGAAGAAGGCCUUCGGGUUGUAAAGCCCUUUUGCUGGGAAAGAAAAGCAGCAGGUUAAUACCCCGCUGUUCUGACGGUACCCAAAGAAUAAGCACCGGCUAACUUCGUG